AAUGCCUAGGAAUCUGCCUGGUAGUGGGGGAUAACGUUCGGAAACGGACGCUAAUACCGCAUACGUCCUACGGGAGAAAGCAGGGGACCUUCGGGCCUUGCGCUAUCAGAUGAGCCUAGGUCGGAUUAGCUAGUUGGUGAGGUAAUGGCUCACCAAGGCGACGAUCCGUAACUGGUCUGAGAGGAUGAUCAGUCACACUGGAACUGAGACACGGUCCAGACUCCUACGGGAGGCAGCAGUGGGGAAUAUUGGACAAUGGGCGAAAGCCUGAUCCAGCCAUGCCGCGUGUGUGAAGAAGGUCUUCGGAUUGUAAAGCACUUUAAGUUGGGAGGAAGGGUUGUAGAUUAAUACUCUGCAAUUUUGACGUUACCGACAGAAUAAGCACCGGCUAACUCUGUGCCAGCAGCCGCGGUAAUACAGAGGGUGCAAGCGUUAAUCGGAAUUACUGGGCGUAAAGCGCGCGUAGGUGGUUUGUUAAGUUGGAUGUGAAAUCCCCGGGCUCAACCUGGGAGCUGCAUUCAAAACUGACUGACUAGAGUAUGGUAGAGGGUGGUGGAAUUUCCUGUGUAGCGGUGAAAUGCGUAGAUAUAGGAAGG
rnacentral:rRNA from 1 species